GUGUGCCCGCAGGAUUCCUAGCUCUUCCUUUUUGAACGUUGGCUUCACAGCAGUGAUCAUGUCAAGCAAGUAUUAUUCAGCAGCCCCAGCUGGGUUAGUGUGUAAGGACUUGAACAGAUGCACAGGACAAAGGAACACACCAUGGAAAUGUGGGGCAAAGCCUGGGGCCCUCAGUCUAAAGUAGGAGCUCCUGCACCUCCCUUUAAGCACCUUAAAAUCAAUGAAAGGAGCACUGUAGCAAUAAAGAAUGAGGAGGAGUUUCACAUUCAAAAUCAUUUUGUUGGCUUGACAUCUAUCUCAACCACAACCGGGAGGUCGGUUUUUUUCUAGUUGACUUACUUCCUGAAGAUCUGAACAGAAUUGAGAGAUGAAAGACCACAGCGCUGUCUCAUCACCAUGCACACCUCUCUCUGACAAGCAUGGAGACAUUUGGCCUCAUGGUUCCUUCCCAUUUGAUUUAUUAUGCUCUUUGACUCUGGGACAAAACCCCACAAACUCAUCUCUUAAUUACAUAGGCUGUUUUUGGGUUGUGAACAAAACAACAAGUGUAUUUUCUCCCCAUAUGGGUUGAAAUCUCCCGUGUGAUGUCCAGCUUUACCAUAAUACUGCAGGCUGGCUGGUUUACUUCCUGGCACUGCCAUCAGCCAGAAUGUGCUGGUGCAUCACAUUGUCUAACCCCUGGGCACCCUAUGGCCUUCCAGCUCACAGCCUUCCCUUCCUCAACAAGUGUCUCCACGUGGCCGUCCCGUGGGUGACCCAGCCAUCUCACGGGACCUGAGCCCCAUGGCUCUAGCUUCCUUCCCCUUUGUGUCACUUCAGGACUCAUAUUCACAGCUAAACCAGGGAUCUCGUGAUGGGCUGAACUGCACCUGCUGCAAUGUCUUGCUCACUUCCCACAGAUGAUGCCAACCAUGGGGUAGCCACAUCUUAUCAGCUUUUAUGAGGAACAGUUGUACAGUCAACAGCAAGAUGGUGGAAUCCUGGUUGUCCCUGUGUUGGGUAAACCUCCUAAGAGCUUGCAGGGAAGAUGGAUUUGAAAUCCUUGAAUUAAUUCAUGCUCUUUUCUUGAAAUACACUGAGUUGUGGUAGCUUCCUGGAGAGCAGGGUCUCUGCCUGUUGCUCGUUUUCCUUCCCAUUGAGCCCCUUGCAUGGAUUUGAGUAUCUUCAGUGUUGAGUUCAUUACUGGGACUUGGCUCGAAGUCCCAGGAGCUCAGAAGAAAGGUCUUUGGAUGCUUCGUGUUGAAUUCUGUUUCUCUUCCCUGGUACGCAGACAUGAGGGUGCGAAGGGGAAGCAAGAAAAAUUAAGCAGACUGUUCAUUGGUGUCACUUUUGCACUAUUUUUCAUCUGCUUGGGGACAACGGUAUCUGUUCCAAAGGGACAGAAUGGGAAAUUUAAUUAAUGUAUUUAAAAUUCAAACCCCAAAUACAAAGAUAUGUGAACCUUAAGAAAACUAGCUCUUCGAAUCCAAAUUCACAAGGAAAUUAUUGUAUCAGGAUGAGGAUGAAUUUACCUAUUGUGCUUGAUGGAAUUUGCCUGAGGAAAGAACCAGCCUUCCUGCUAGAUGUCAGUCCAACACUGAACGGCAGAUUGAAGCUUGUUGGAUGAUUACAGAAUCGAAGCAUUAUGGUCCUCACCCUUCCUAAGGGGCAUUUUAAUUCUCUAUAAUGGAUUAAUUGCCUUAAUUUUCCUUCAGGGAGUUUUUACACCUAUAAACUGGUCUGUUCCAUCACCUGGAAUCAGACCGUUUCCUCCCUUUGGCAAAGCUGGUUGCAAGGGCUUACUAUUUCUUCCCCUCAGAUUCAAUGUCAACUUCUGCUUAUUCAAUAGCUAAAUAAGUAAAUAUGUGUGUGCAUGUA